rnacentral:rRNA from 1 species
AGCUGGCGAAAGGGUGAGUAACACGUGAGCAACCUGCCCCCGAGUCCGGAAUAAGCGGUGGAAACGCCGUCUAAUGCCGGAUGAGGAGCGGUGCCUCCUGGCUCCGUUUCCAAAGAUUCAUCGCUUGGGGAUGGGCUCGCGCCCCAUUAGCUUGUUGGCGGGGUAACUGCCCACCAAGGCUACGACGGGUAGGUGGUCUGAGAGGAUGGUCACCCACACUGGGACUGAGACACUGCCCAGACUCCUACGGGAGGCUGCAGUCGAGAAUCUUCCGCAAUGGGCGCAAGCUGACGGAGCGAUGCCGCGUGAGGGAAGAAUGCCUUCGGGUUGUAAACCUCUGUCACCCGGGACGAAGACAAUGACGGUACCGGGGGAGGAAGUCACGGCUAACUACGUGCCAGCAGCCGCGGUAACACGGGGGUUGCGAGCGUUGUCCGGAAUUACUAGGCGUAAAGUGCAGGUAGGCGGAUAAAUAAGUUUAAGGUUAAAGGCUACGGCUUACCCGUAGUAAGGCGUUAGAUACUGUUUAUCUGGAAUGCGGUUGAGGGAGACAGAAUUCCUGGUGUAGCGGUGGAAUGCGCAGAGAUCAGGAGGAAUACCGAAGGCGAAGGCAGUCUUCUAAGCCGAUAUUGACGCUAAACUGCGAAGGUGUGGGGAUCAAACAGGAUUAGAUACCCUGGUAGUCCACACAGUAAACGAUAAUCACUAGGUGUUGGGUUCUUAAGAGGAUUCAGUGCCGGAGCUAACGCGAUAAGUGAUUCGCCUGGGGAGUACGAUCGCAAGGUUGAAACUCAAAGGAAUUGACGGGGGCCCGCACAAGCGGUGGAGCAUGUGGUUUAAUUCGACGCAACGCGAAGAACCUUACCCGGUCUUGACAUCUGCAGAAUUCUUCAGAGAUGGAGGAGUGCCGGUUUUACCGGAGCUGCAAGACAGGUGCUGCAUGGCUGUCGUCAGCUCGUGUCGUGAGAUGUUGGGUUAAGUCCCGCAACGAGCGCAACCCCUGCUUUCAGUUACCAUCAUUAAGUUGGGGACUCUGGAAGGACCGCUGCGGUAACAACGCAGAGGAAGAUGGGGACGACGUCAAGUCAUCAUGGUCCUUAUGACCGGGGCUACACACGUGCUACAAUGGUAGUUACAGAGGGAUGCGAAGCAGUGAUGUGGAGCGAAUCUCAGAAAAGCUACCACAGUUCGGAUUGAGGUCUGCAACUCGACCUCAUGAAGCAGGAAUCGCUAGUAAUCGCGCAACAUCAUGGCGCGGUGAAUACGUUCCCGGGCC